AAAACUUUAAAGAGAGAAGUUGAAAAUUAGCAAUGCAUCACCAAAAAAAUCCAAUACUGACGUGGCAGCCGAGACAUGCAGCAUUCUAGGACGCAGCCUUAUUAAAAAAAAAAAAAAAAAAAAAAAAGGACGCAGCCUUAUUUAUUUUAUUUUAUAUAUGUAUAAUGUACCCCCUGACUGAACUUGUAUUUCUUAUUAUUUAAAAAAAUAUAUUAAAAAUAUUUUUAAAAGAACGCAGCUGUGCGUUUGAGAAACGACCGGAAACGACUUAUAUGUCGCGAGGCCAUCACGUGACCACAAUAUUUACCAGAAGACCGUUAUUUGCUCGAGUUCCCUCAACUUUUUUGUCGCAAAUAACAUUAUUAAUAACCUGUAAAUAAUAAAAUUUGUACACAUUACGUUCCUCUUCACGUUGUAAUAGUAUGUUUUUGGUUUAAUAGUCGGCUUUAAGUUAGUUUUUCUGUCAGUUUGGUCGUCAAAAUCUUGAAAGUUAUCUACAGCCACACAUCCACUGUAUACCAAGUUAUGAUGAUCAAUUAUGAGAAUGCAAAAGGAUUUAUAGAUCAGUAAACAACAACAAAAAGAUGGGUGCUCAUGGUGGCCUCCAAAUAAAUACAUGGACAGGCUGCUAAAGAGGGUCAGGAUGAUGGAGAUGAAAGAGCCAAAGACAGCAUGGAUCAAACACCAGUCCAGAAUUCUGCAUGAGUCAGAUUGAGUAAUUUUCACUCUAGAGACCCUGGGGUGACCACCAAGGACGAAUGAAAACUCCAGUGAGUGUCUCUAAGGUAGAUCCUAAUGCAGAUGGAUGGAAUGUUGAUCCGCCUAACAUGCAAGAUUUUCUGUACCGAGAACUUUGGAUGACCAUCAAGACAGUAAGUUUUCAAAAAUCUGACCUCAAUUUUAGUAACCAUUUAAGGAUUGUUUUUCUUUUAGUUGAUUUAAAUAAUACCCUAAAGUCCUCCGUUCAUCUUCGGAAACACUGUUUAAGAUAUUUUAGAUGUAGUCCGAGAGCUUGCUGACCCUCCAUUAAAAAUGUAUGUACGAUAUACUGUUCAUGUCCAGUUAGGUAAUAAAAACAUCAUCAAAGUAGUUCAUGUGACAUCAGUGGGU